rnacentral:tRNA from 2 species
GGCGGGGUAGCUCAGUUCGGUUAGAGCGAAGGACUCAUAACCCUUAGGUCGGCGGUUCAAGUCCGCCCCCCGCUA